GUGCGUCCCAAGUCUUUCCGCUGUGCCUUGUGUAAGAACGCUAAUUAAACAGGCGCAGCCAUGAUUUCCCUGGUGUUGGCGCAGUAUUAGCGCACCCCGGCCAGGCC
rnacentral:sRNA from 1 species